AUGAGGACACGGAGCAUGGCGUCCAAACCCGAACCAGUCCCCUCCACCCACGGGACGGCGGCUCGUGCCCCAGCGCCGGCCUCCGUGAGUGCCUCCACCCACGGGACGGCGGCUCGUGCCGCAGCGCGGGCCUCCGUGAGUGCCUCCACCCACGGGAAGGCGGCUCGUGCCCCAGCGCGGGCCUCCGUGAGUGCCUCCACCCACGGGACGGCGGCUCGUGCCCCAACGCCGGCCUCCGUGAGUGCCUCCACCCACGGGACGGCGGCUCGUGCCCCAGCGCCGGCCUCCGUGAGUGCCUCCACCCACGGGACGGCGGCUCGUGCCCCAGCGCCGGCCUCCGUGAGUGCCUCCACCCACGGGACGGCGGCUCGUGCCCCAGCGCCGGCCUCCGUGAGUGCCUCCACCCACGGGACGGCGGCUCGUGCCCCAGCGCCGGUCUCCGUGAGUGCCCCCACCCACGGGACGGCGGCUCCUGCCCCACCGCCGGCCUCCGUGCGUGCUCCCACCUAUUGUGCCACCGUGCAGAGAUGCGUUGCGCUCCUUGACUGGUGGCUGGUGAGGGGUCAAGGCGGCAAGAUCCGUGUUGCCGGGUACAUCGACAACGUCGAGAAGAAUCGAGCAGGUCGAGUAUUCAGUUCUGGUUCCAUUACGGUGCGGCAUGCUGAUGGUACUCUUGAGACUGCAGAUAACAAAAUUGUAUUAACUAGGGGUCCAUUAAAUAUCGAACAGAUGCAUUGGAAUGGAUUUUCUCGUGAGGUUUCGGAACAGUUCAGGCUUGGUUUUCCUAUUCAAUGGGAGAAAUAUGCUAAUUCUAACAUGAAACAGGCGAAUGAACACAUACUAUCUCCAGCAAAAUCAACUGAAUAUUGUGUAGAGAAGUUCUUGCGCAGCAGCUUUGCCAAUUCAAUGGAACAUACUUUGACAGGGUUUGAUUUCAGAACAUCUAAAGAGUCUACUGGUAAUACAGAUGGACCUGGGCUUCCAAACUAUGUAAAACCAAGAAUUCAGGAACCUUCUGGCAAUAGUGUUGGUUAUGAUAACUCAGUGAGCAACAUGGCUGCAUCUGAGGGAUUAUGUAAUGAUAGGAUGGGUACGCCUGAUGAAUCUUUUGAAGAUCCUGGACCUGGAGAAACAUGUAAUGGUCAAGCAUCUAGAGCAGAUAACUCACAUGAAGAUAUACAGACAGAUGCAAGUGGGCAGAGGAUUGUUACUCACUCCGCGGACUCUACUUUAGUUAAUAAUGAUAUAGAUAAAAUAGAAGAAGAACGUGGAUCUUCCAAGUUGGGCAACAGCUCAGUGUGUCCCGGAACAGAACAUGUGUCAGAAGCACUAAACCAAGGGGCGAGUCCAGAGCAUGGAAGUGUUCAGUGUUCAAGAAGACUACGGAGCGGCAAAGUGUAUGGAAUGUCUAAUGGUGCGUCAUUGAAGAGGCGGUACUCCAAGAGGAAGACAAUGCAGCACGGAACAUUGAGUAUGAAGGUGAUACCAACUGAAGAGACAACACCCCCUGCCGGUCCGACUUGUCACAAAAAGGGUGGCUCAGUUGCUCAAAUCACUGCUUUGGAUAAGCUUCAAUCAAAUGAUUCGGGUCGUAAAGGUUACUUAAAUAAUUUGCAUUAA
rnacentral:rRNA from 1 species